rnacentral:rRNA from 1 species
GGAUCAGUGGCGAACGGGUGAGUAACACGUGAGUAACCUGCCCCCGACUCUGGGAUAACUGCUAGAAAUGGUAGCUAAUACCGGAUAUGACGACUGGCCGCAUGGUCUGGUCGUGGAAAGAACUUCGGUUGGGGAUGGACUCGCGGCCUAUCAGGUUGUUGGUGAGGUAAUGGCUCACCAAGCCUACGACGGGUAGCCGGCCUGAGAGGGUGACCGGCCACACUGGGACUGAGACACGGCCCAGACUCCUACGGGAGGCAGCAGUGGGGAAUAUUGCACAAUGGGCGCAAGCCUGAUGCAGCAACGCCGCGUGAGGGAUGACGGCCUUCGGGUUGUAAACCUCUUUUAGUAGGGAAGAAGCGAAAGUGACGGUACCUGCAGAAAAAGCACCGGCUAACUACGUGCCAGCAGCCGCGGUAAUACGUAGGGUGCAAGCGUUGUCCGGAAUUAUUGGGCGUAAAGAGCUCGUAGGCGGUUUGUCGCGUCUGCUGUGAAAUCCCGAGGCUCAACCUCGGGUCUGCAGUGGGUACGGGCAGACUAGAGUGCGGUAGGGGAGAUUGGAAUUCCUGGUGUAGCGGUGGAAUGCGCAGAUAUCAGGAGGAACACCGAUGGCGAAGGCAGAUCUCUGGGCCGUAACUGACGCUGAGGAGCGAAAGCAUGGGGAGCGAACAGGAUUAGAUACCCUGGUAGUCCAUGCCGUAAACGUUGGGAACUAGAUGUGGGGACCAUUCCACGGUCUCCGUGUCGCAGCUAACGCAUUAAGUUCCCCG